UGGGGAAUAUUGCGCAAUGGGCGAAAGCCUGACGCAGCAACGCCGCGUGAGUGAUGAAGGCCUUCGGGUCGUAAAGCUCUGUCGGAGGGAACGAAUGCUCUUGAGGUUAACAGCCUCGGGAGGUGACGGUACCCUCAAAGGAAGCACCGGCUAACUCUGUGCCAGCAGCCGCGGUAAUACGUAGGGUGCAGGCGUUAAUCGGAAUUACUGGGCGUAAAGCGUGCGCAGGCGGCUCCUUAAGUCAGAUGUGAAAUCCCCGGGCUUAACCUGGGAACUGCGUUUGAAACUGAGGGGCUAGAGUGUGGAAGAGGGGGGUGGAAUUCCAGGUGUAGCAGUGAAAUGCGUAGAGAUCUGGAGGAACACCGAUGGCGAAGGCAGCCCCCUGGGCUAACACUGACGCUCAUGCACGAAAGCGUGGGAGCAAACAGGAUUAGAUACCCUUGUAGUCCCUGAGCGGGCUGGCAAGGCGCAU
rnacentral:rRNA from 1 species